UACGUAGGGGGCUAGCGUUGUCCGGAAUCAUUGGGCGUAAAGAGCGUGUAGGCGGCCCGGUAAGUCCGCUGUGAAAGUCGGGGGCUCAACCCUCGAAAGCCGGUGGAUACUGUCGGGCUAGAGUGCGGAAGAGGCGAGUGGAAUUCCUGGUGUAGCGGUGAAAUGCGCAGAUAUCAGGAGGAACACCGAUUGCGAAGGCAGCUCGCUGGGACGUAAGCUGACGCUGAGGAGCGAAAGCGUGGGGAGCGAACAGG
rnacentral:rRNA from 1 species